rnacentral:rRNA from 1 species
GACGAACGCUGGCGGCGUGGAUUAGGCAUGCAAGUCGAACGGUAUCAUCCUUUCGGGGGUGAGAGAGUGGCGAACUGGUGAGUAACACGUAGGUUAUCUACCCUCAAGACGGGGACAACCCAGGGAAACUUGGGCUAAUACCGGAUGUGAGCAACUUUUAGUUGUUUGAAAGGUGGCGUAAGCUGUCGCUUGGGGAUGAGCCUGCGUCCUAUUAGUUAGUUGGUGAGGUAACGGCUCACCUAGGCAAUGAUAGGUAGGCGGCCUUAACGGGUGGUCGCCCACACUGGGAUUGAGAUACGGCCCAGACUCCUACGGGAGGCAGCAGUCGAGAAUAGUCUACAAUGGUCGGAAGACUGAUAGUGCGACGCCGCGUGAACGAUGAAUCCCUUCGGGGUUAAAGUUCUUUUAUAUGUGAGCAGUGCUUCUUAUAUUAACAGUAUGGGGAGAGAGAUAUUAGCAUAUGAAUAAGCAACGGCUAACUCCGUGCCAGCAGCCGCGGUAAACUCGUC